rnacentral:rRNA from 1 species
UAGGGAAUUUUCGGCAAUGGGCGAAAGCCUGACCGAGCAAUGCCGCGUGAAUGAUGAAAUUCUUCGGAAUGUAAAAUUCUGUUAUUAGGGAAGAAAGAUAUGCUUAGGAAAUGAGGUGUAUUUGACGGUACUUAAUGAGAAAGCCCCGGCUAACUAUGUGCCAGCAGCCGCGGUAAUACAUAGGGGGCAAGCGUUAUCCGGAAUUAUUGGGCGUAAAGAGUGCGUAGGUGGCUCGUUAAGUCUGACGUGAAAUCCCACAGCUCAACUGUGGAGGGUCGUUGGAAACUGGCAAGCUUGAAUCCAGAAGAGGUAAGUGGAAUUCCAUGUGUAGCGGUAAAAUGCUUAGAUAUCACGAAGAACUCCAAUUGCGAAGGCAGCUCACUAGACUGCAACUGACACUGAGGCUCGAAAGUGUGGGUAUCAAACA